GUCUUUGUAUAAGUGCCCCUACAAUCAUCUCUUUACAGCAGAGAUACGGCCUUCAGGUAAUUUGUGAUGAUCUUUUUAGCAUUCUUAAUUGAUGACAUUUCUGAAGGGAGAUGAUCCUCAACAUUUCAUAGUUAUUUUUUGUACUGUUGUAAUCUCAAAUUUCACAUUUAAACUUAACUUGUUAUCAAAUAAUUUUGGAACAAAAUCUUACUUUUACCUGCCCUCCACAGAACCAAAGGUUCACGAGGACUUUUGUUGCUCUAAUGCUUCUUCGAUGACCAUCUCGCCGUUCGCCCUUGCAGAUAGAUAUGGCCGCAUAAAUCGCACCGAUGGAUCCAGUCCUUCGCUAGGUCCAACCUACCCCGCACCAGCCUCAAGCACGCGAGACACUGUUACAUUGUGUUCUAACUGGUUACCACAAUCAAAUCCAUUUUUGCCCAGUUAAAUUAGUUCGCUCAUUUUGUUGAUAACUGAGUUGCAUUGGUAAUAUAUACUGAACUGUCUUUGGCAUUCUGUUUUGCAAUAUAUUCUAAUUGUCAGGAUUUUUGCUACAUUUUUGGUGUAGAUUUUAGGGACAUUAAUGUAGUGCUAAUGCCUUUCGUGCAGGUUAUUCAGUCAACGCAUAUUCUGUCUUUUGGCAUGUGUAUGCUUGCUCUUGUGCUCAUGUUGUAAUCGUGACCUAUAAUCAGUCCAUG
rnacentral:lncRNA from 1 species